rnacentral:lncRNA from 1 species
AGGUUUUAAGGGCAUAUUAUACAAAAAGAUGCAAUUUGGAGCUUUUUGGAGCAAAAGUGAGCUUGGGUUGACUAGCACAUGCUUGGAACAAAAGGUUUGGACGAAAUUGAAGAUUUGAAGAAUUUGAAGACUUGAAGAUUUGAGGAUUCCUAGUCCAAGAAGGAAUCCUAAUUGUAGAAGGAUUCCUAAUCAACAAAGGAUUCCUAGUUGAACAUGGAUUCCUAGAAGAAU